rnacentral:rRNA from 1 species
UACGUAGGGUGCGAGCGUUGUCCGGAAUUAUUGGGCGUAAAGGGCUCGUAGGCGGUUUGUCGCGUCGGGAGUGAAAACCUUGGGCUUAACUCAGGGCUUGCUUUCGAUACGGGCAGACUAGAGGUAUGCAGGGGAGAGCGGAAUUCCUGGUGCAGCGGUGAAAUGCGCAGAUAUCAGGAGGAACACCGGUGGCGAAGGCGGUUCUCUGGGCAUGAUCUGACGCUGAGGAGCGAAAGUGUGGGGAGCGAACAGG